rnacentral:rRNA from 1 species
UGCCAGACUCCUACGGGAGGCAGCAGUGGGGAAUCUUCCGCAAUGGGCGAAAGCCUGACGGAGCAACGCCGCGUGAUCGAAUGAAGGCCUUCGGGUUGUAAAGAUCUGUUGACAGGGACGAAUAAGCAAUGCGAAUAGUUUUGUGUAUGACGGUACCUGUUUAGAAAGCUCCGGCUAACUACGUGCCAGCAGCCGCGGUAAUACGUAGGGAGCAAGCGUUGUCCGGAAUUACUGGGUGUAAAGGGAGCGUAGGCGGGAAUGCAAGUUGGAAGUGAAAGGUAUGGGCUCAACCCAUGAACUGCUUUCAAAACUGUAUUUCUUGAGUGAAGUAGAGGCAGGCGGAAUUCCUAGUGUAGCGGUGAAAUGCGUAGAUAUUAGGAGGAACACCAGUGGCGAAGGCGGCCUGCUGGGCUUUAACUGACGCUGAGGCUCGAAAGCGUGGGUAGCAAACAGGAUUAGAUACCCGAGUA